GGAAUCCUCAAGUUGAUCUGCAAGCCCAAGAUCGUGCUCAUAGAAUUGGUCAGAAGAAGGAAGUUCAAGUGUUCCGGUUUUGCACUGAGUAUACCAUUGAGGAAAAAGUUAUUGAAAGGGCUUACAAGAAACUUGCCCUUGAUGCUUUGGUGAUUCAACAAGGACGCUUAGCAGAGCAGAAAACUGUCAACAAGGAUGAGCUACUUCAAA